ACCUACGGGGCGCAGCAGUAGGGAAUUUUCGGCAAUGGGGGGAACCCUGACCGAGCAACGCCGCGUGAACGAAGAAGUUAUUCGUAAUGUAAAGUUCUUUUAUCAGGGAAGAAAGAGGAAUUUGACGGUACCUGAGGAAUAAGCUCCGGCUAACUACGUGCCAGCAGCUGCGGUAAUACGUAGGGGGCAAGCGUUAUCCGGAUUUACUGGGUGUAAAGGGAGCGUAGACGGCCAGACAAGUCAGAAGUGAAAGCCCAGGGCUCAACCCUGGGACUGCUUUUGAAACUGCCGGGCUGGAGUGCAGG
rnacentral:rRNA from 1 species